rnacentral:rRNA from 1 species
GACGAACGCUGGCGGCGUGGACUAGGCAUGCAAGUCGAACGGUAUCAUCCUUUCGGGGGUGAGAGAGUGGCGAACUGGUGAGUAACACGUAGGUUAUCUACCCUCAAGACGGGGACAACCCAGGGAAACUUGGGCUAAUACCGGAUGUGAGCAACUUUUAGUUGUUUGAAAGGUGGCGUAAGCUGUCGCUUGGGGAUGAGCCUGCGUCCUAUUAGUUAGUUGGUGAGGUAACGGCUCACCUAGGCAAUGAUAGGUAGGCGGCCUUAACGGGUGGUCGCCCACACUGGGAUUGAGAUACGGCCCAGACUCCUACGGGAGGCAGCAGUCGAGAAUAGUCUACAAUGGUCGGAAGACUGAUAGUGCGACGCCGCGUGAACGAUGAAUCCCUUCGGGGUGUAAAGUUCUUUUAUAUGUGAGCAGUGCUUCUUAUAUUAACAGUAUGGGGAGAGAGAUAUUAGCAUAUGAAUAAGCAACGGCUAAACUCCGUGCCAGCAGCCGCGGU